GAUGAAGAACGUAGCGAAAUGCGAUAAGUAAUGUGAAUUGCAGAAUUCAGUGAAUCAUCGAAUCUUUGAACGCACAUUGCGCCCGCCAGUAUUCUGGCGGGCAUGCCUGUCUGAGCGUCAUUUCAACCCUCAUGCCCCUAGGGCGUGGUGUUGGGGAUCGGCCAAAGCCCGCGAGGGACGGCCGGCCCCUAAAUCUAGUGGCGGACCCGUCGUGGCCUCCUCUGCGAAGUAGUGAUAUUCCGCAUCGGAGAGCGAUGAGCCCCUGCCGUUAAACCCCCAACUUUCCAAGGUUGACCUCAGAUCAGGUAGGAAUACCCGGUGAACUUAAGCAUAUCAAUAAGCGGAGGA
rnacentral:misc_RNA from 1 species